GAUCAUGGCUCAGGAUGAACGCUGGCGGCGUGCCUAAUACAUGCAAGUCGAACGAAUCUCUUUUAGAGAUGAGUGGCGAACGGGUGAGUAAUACAUAGGUAACCUCCCCCUGUGCGGGGGAUAACAGGAGGAAACUCCUGCUAAUACCGCAUAGCCAUGAGCACCGCAUGGAGCUCAUGCCAAAUAUCCUUUCGGGGAUAGCGCAGGGAUGGACCUAUGGCGCAUUAG
rnacentral:rRNA from 1 species